UACGUAGGGUGCAAGCGUUGUCCGGAAUUAUUGGGCGUAAAGAGCUCGUAGGCGGUUUGUCGCGUCGAAUGUGAAAACUCGGGGCUUAACCCCGAGCCUGCAGUGGAUACGGGCAGACUAGAGGUAGGUAGGGGAGAAUGGAAUUCCCGGUGUAGCGGUGAAAUGCGCAGAUAUCAGGAGGAACACCGGUGGCGAAGGCGGUUCUCUGGGCCUUACCUGACGCUGAGGAGCGAAAGCGUGGGGAGCAAACAGG
rnacentral:rRNA from 1 species